rnacentral:rRNA from 1 species
UGGAGGCCGCGCAGCAGAUCCUGACGUGGCAAAUCGGUCGUCGUCGACUUGGGCCAUAGGGGGCGGAAAGACUAAUCGGAACCAGUCUAGUAGCGCUGGUUCCGUCUCCGAAGUUUCCCUCAGGAUUAGCUGGCGGCUCAGUUACUCGCAGUUUUAUCUGGUCAAUCGCGAAUGACUAGAGGCCUUGGGGCCGAAACGAUCUCAACCUAUUCUCAAAACUUUAAAUGGGUCUAAGAGGCCCUGCUCGCUGUGGCUUGGAGCAGGCGUGGAAUGCGAGGUUGCCCAGGAUGGCCACUUUUGGUAAGGCAGAACUGGCGGCUGCGGGACUGAACCGAACGCCCGGUUGAAGGCGCCCGAUGCCGACGCUCAUCAGACCCCAGAAAAGAGCGUUUGGUUGUUGAUAUAGACAGGCAGGACGGUGGUGGCCAUGGAAGUCUCGGAAUUCCGCUAAGAGAGUGUGUAUCUACAACUCACCUGCCGAAUUCAACUAGCCCUGAAAAUUGGAUGGCGCUGGGGAGCGUCGGGCCCAUACCGGCCGUCGCUGUGCGCGAUCGGAAGCCUCGUGGGCUACGCCGCGCGAUGAGUUAGGAGGUGCCGCCGCGGUGCGCACGGAAGCUAGUGGGCGGCGGGCCGGGUGGAGCCGCCGCGCGGUGCAGAUCUUGGUGGUUAGUGGCGAGUAGCAAUAUUCAAACGAAGAACUUUGAAGGCCGAAGUGGAGGAGGUCGUUCCAUGUGACAGCAGGUGUUGAACAUUGGGCGGUCCUACGUCGGUCCUAAGAGAAUUGGGGCGAACGCCGUUCAAAAGUGCGGGGGCGAUGGCCUCCCGUCCGUCGCCCGCGGGCUCGAUCGAAAGGGAGUCGGGUUCCAGAUCCCCGGAAUCUGGGAGAGGCGGAGAUAGCGCCGCGCGAGGCGUCCAGUGUCGGUAACGGCAACACGACCCGGGAGAGCUGCGGGGAGCCCCGGGAAGAUGUUCUCUUGUUCUUUUUGUGGAAGGCAGAGGCACCUGGAAUGGGUUCGCCCCGAGAUAGGGGCCCGUCGCUCCUGGAAAGGCGUUCGCGAGUUCCGGCGGCGGUUCCCGGUGAGCUCUCGCUGGCCCUUGAAAAUCCGGGUGAGAAGGUGUAAAUCUCGCGCCAGGCCGUACCCUAUAUCCGCAGCAGGUCUCCAAGUGAACACAGCCUCUGGCAUGAUGGAACAAGUGGGGUAAGGGAAGUCGGCAAAUCAGAUCCCGUAACUUCUGGGCGAUAAGGAUUGGCUUCUAAGGGGCUGGUGUCGGUCGGGGCUGUGCGGGUGCGAACAGCGGGGCUGGCGCUUGCGCGCGCGGCUGGGGAAGCAGCCACCGCCGCCUCCUGUCGUCCUCCCGCCCUCUGAGCGUCUCGCGGCGGGGGUGGGCUCGAGGGUCUUUGCGUGGCGUCGGCUCUUCGGGGUCGUCGCGGCGCGGGGGCUCGAGGGUCUGCUCUCGCGUCCGGUGCGUUGAGGUGGGGUGUGGGGGGCUUCAGGUCUCGGGGGCGGGUCCGUCCGCGCGUGGCGACUCUGGACGUGGCGGUCGGGCCCUUCUCGCGGAUCUCCUCAAGCUACGGGUGACUGUAGCGGCUCCACCCGGGUGGUCGCGGCCGGGGCUCGCCUCGGCUGGCACCUAGCAGCUGACUUAGAACUGGUGCGGACCAGGGGGAUCCGACUGUUUAAUUAAAACAGAGCAUCGCGAGGGCCCCAGCGGGUGUUGACGCAAUGUGUGAUUUUCUGCCCAGUGCUGCUCGUGAAUGUCAAAGUGAAGAAAUUCAAUGAAGCGCGGGUAAAGCGGCGGGAGUACUAUGACUCUCUUAAGGUAGCCAAAUGCCUCGGUCAUCUAAUUAGUGACGCGCGUAUGAUGGAUGAACGAGAUUCCCACUGUCCCUACCUACUAUCCAGCGAAACCACAGCCAGGGAACGGGCUUGGCCGAGAAUCAGCGGGGAAAGAAGACCCUGUUGAGCUUGACUCUAGUCUGGUACUGUGAAGAGACAUGAGAGGUGUAGAAUUAAGUGGAGAGGUCCCGGCCGACGUUGAAAUACCACUACUCUUAUCGUUUUUCCACUUACCCGGUGAGGCGGGGAGGCGAGCCCCGAGCGGGUUCUCGUUUCUGGUGUCAAACCCCCGGCCUGGCCGGGGCAACCCGUCCGGGGACAGUGACAGGUGGGAGUUUGACUGGGGCGGUACACCUGUCAAACGGGUUAACGCAGGUGUCCUAGGCGAGCUCAGGGAGGACAGAAACCUCCCGUGGAGGCAGAAGGGCAAAAGCUCGCUUGAUCUUGAUUUUCAGUAUGAGUACAGACCGUGAAAGCGCCGGCCUCACGAUCCUUCUGACGUUUUGGGUUUUAAGCAGGAGGUGUCAGAAAAGUUACCACAGGGAUAACUGGCUUGUGGCGGCCAAGCGUUCAUAGCGACGUCGCUUUUUGAUCCUUCGAUGUCGGCUCUUCCUAUCAUUGUGAAGCCAGAAUUCACCAAGCGUUGGAUUGUUCACCCACUAAUAGGGAACGUGAGCUGGGUUUAAGACCGUCGUGAGACAGGUUAGUUUUUACCUCUACUGAUGAUGUUGUGUUGCAAUAGUAAUCCUGCUCAGUACGAGAGGAACCGCGCAGGUUCAGUCUUUUGUGUAUGUCUUGGCUGAGGAGCAAUGGGCCGAAGCUACCAUCUGUGGGCUUAUGACUGAACGCCUCUAGUAGUCAGAAUCCCCCCUAGAUGUGAUGAUACCUUAGUGCGCGGCUAUAAGAUUGACUCCGGAUUACCGACCCCCCGGGGGCCGGCGCAGAAAGGACAUUUGAUACUGGCUUGGGUGCGGCCGAUGAUGGUCGCCCCUCUCCAUGAUCACACCACAUGUUUACCAAGGACUGGGUGUUAACCAC